UACGAAGGGGGCUAGCGUUGCUCGGAAUUACUGGGCGUAAAGGGAGCGUAGGCGGACAUUUAAGUCAGGGGUGAAAUCCCGGGGCUCAAUCUCGGAAUUGCCUUUGAUACUGGGUGUCUUGAGUAUGAGAGAGGUAUGUGGAACUCCGAGUGUAGAGGUGAAAUUCGUAGAUAUUCGGAAGAACACCAGUGGCGAAGGCGACAUACUGGCUCAUUACUGACGCUGAGGCUCGAAAGCGUGGGGAGCAAACAGG
rnacentral:rRNA from 1 species